AACGCGAAGAACCUUACCUGGGCUCGAAAUGCUGUGGACCAGCUGGUGAAAGCCGGCCUUCCCGCAAGGGACUGCAGUAUAGGUGCUGCAUGGCUGUCGUCAGCUCGUGUCGUGAGAUGUUGGGUUAAGUCCCGCAACGAGCGCAACCCUUGUCCUGUGUUGCCAUACCGAAAGGUGGAACUCGCAGGAGACCGCCAGGGAUAACCUGGAGGAAGGUGGGGAUGACGUCAAGUCCUCAUGGCCUUUAUGUCCAGGGCUACACACGUGCUACAAUGGACGGUACAAAGGGCUGCCAACCCGCGAGGGGGAGCCAAUCCCAAAAAACCGUUCUCAGUUCGGAUUGCAGGCUGCAACUCGCCUGCAUGAAGCUGGAAUCGCUAGUAAUGGCAGAUCAGAACGCUGCCGUGAAUACGUUCCCGGGCCUUGUA
rnacentral:rRNA from 1 species